CUCAGGAAAUUUUUGGUGACCUCCCACACUGCCUGCCAUACUUUUAGGUAAUUUUUCAUAGCCCCCACUAAACUGCUGAGUCGAAAAAUUAUAACCCCCUUAAAAUCACCAUAGCCCCCCUCUAGUUAAAUUAUGAACGCUCCCUAAUUUAAUCAUUAUCAAGAGUGAUAAUUAUAAUGUUGACUGAAGCGUUUCAUGAUUUAUUCCAAUUUUGGACGUUGCAUGCUAUUGAGAAUUACCAAAGAAUGAUUAUUCAACCGUCUUCAAGAUAAAGCACUUGUUUAUUAAUGCGAUUGAAAGAUCUGCCAUGCAUGCACAGCAUCUUAACCACACUAUCAACAUGUCAAUAUCCGGGUGCCACAAGUGUGCCUUCAUGUCGCCAAUGCACCUGACGUGUUUAAGUAAGCGUUUAGUGAAUCAUUUCCAGCACGCCAAAAGCUUGGUUAUAUCUUCAUUAAUGCGAUAAUUUAUACGUGUUGGUCAAAUAGAU